CAACGCCUACGGGACGCAGCAGUAGGGAAUCUUCCACAAUGGACGAAAGUCUGAUGGAGCAACGCCGCGUGAGUGAAGAAGGGUUUCGGCUCGUAAAGCUCUGUUGGUAGUGAAGAAAGAUAGAGGUAGUAACUGGCCUUUAUUUGACGGUAAUUACUUAGAAAGUCACGGCUAACUACGUGCCAGCAGCCGCGGUAAUACGUAGGUGGCAAGCGUUGUCCGGAUUUAUUGGG
rnacentral:rRNA from 1 species